rnacentral:lncRNA from 1 species
AUUUGACAGUCGAUUUGCUGACAGGGGAGGAAUUUGCAUCCUGGAUUAAAAAAAAAAAAAAAAAAAGGCCGAGAGGAGCUUGGGAACGGUUGCUAGGGGUGGGUAAUGGGUGAAAAAAGGGGGGCGCCGGGGAGCGGAUAAGGAGGGUUAAGGGAGGGGGCGAGGGUGGGGAGCAAUGCAAAAGGUAAGGCCAGGUUACCGCGGCUCGGCCCCGAGUGGGCUGCGGCCGGGGGAGGGGCGAGAGAUACAUAUGUAUUUCUGUCUCCCUAGCACACCCCCUUCCCUCUAAGCGAUGGCUGAGAGGCGGUGCAUGCAGAUGGGGACUCUGCUCGCCCCUCAUCUCACCCCCCAGGCGAAGACUGGUCUUCUUGUCGGAUUGCCUAUGCACUUGUUGCAGAAACAGCCAAGGCCCUGGCUCUGGAGGAUGCUGAAAGAGGAAGACACAGAAGCAGGACGACCCUGAGAGAUUAAGCCUCUUAAUCGUGAAACAGGUGUGAGCAGCAUUUCUUCACCACGGUGGCAUUUGGUCCGUCCCUUAGCCCGGGUGAGGAUGUAAAACCCCUCGCUCUGCACAUGCAUGGUAGAGGCCAACAGGAACACCUGGCUGCAGCCACGGUCACGGACAUGUCAGCCGUGGAGUAGUGUGGACGCUUUCUCUCUGCUUCUCAGGGUUUCAGUCCUUUCGGGUUUGUGUCAUUGACCUUUUUGUAUGGUUUUGUGGCUGGACAU